AACGAACGCUGGCGGCAGGCUUAACACAUGCAAGUCGAGCGCCCCGCAAGGGGAGCGGCAGACGGGUGAGUAACGCGUGGGAAUCUACCCAUCUCUACGGAAUAACGCAUGGAAACGUGUGCUAAUACCGUAUACGUCCUUCGGGAGAAAGAUUUAUCGGAGAUGGAUGAGCCCGCGUUGGAUUAGCUAGUUGGUGGGGUAAAGGCCUACCAAGGCGACGAUCCAUAGCUGGUCUGAGAGGAUGAUCAGCCACACUGGGACUGAGACACGGCCCAGACUCGUACGGGAGGCAGCAGGGGGGAAUGUUGGACAAUGGGCGCAAGCCUGAUCCAGCCAUGCCGCGUGAGUGAUGAAGGCCCUAGGGUUGUAAAGCUCUUUCACCGGUGAAGAUAAUGACGGUAACCGGAGAAGAAGCCCCGGCUAACUUCGUGCCAGCCGCCGCCGUAAAAC
rnacentral:rRNA from 1 species